rnacentral:tRNA from 1 species
GGCGCUAUAGCCAAGUGGUUACGGCGACAGAUUCGAACUUGAUAAUCUGUUCCUCUUUGAGGGCGCAGGUUCAAAUCCUGCUGGCGUCG